rfam:Ciona savignyi cont_32201, whole genome shotgun sequence.
GCCUCGAUAGCUGAGUCGGGAGAGCGUUAGACUGAAGAUCUAAAGGUCCCUGGUUCAAUCCCGGGUCGAGGCA